GCUUAACACAUGCAAGUCGAGGGGCAUCAGGAUGAAAGCUUGCUUUCUUUGCUGGCGACCGGCGCACGGGUGAGUAACACGUAUCCAACCUGCCCUUUACUCGGGGAUAGCCUUUCGAAAGAAAGAUUAAUACCCGAUAGCAUAAUGAUUCCGCAUGGUUUCAUUAUUAAAGGAUUCCGGUAAAGGAUGGGGAUGCGUUCCAUUAGGUUGUUGGUGAGGUAACGGCCCACCAAGCCUUCGAUGGAUAGGGGUUCUGAGAGGAAGGUCCCCCACAUUGGAACUGAGACACGGUCCAAACUCCUACGGGAGGCAGCAGUGAGGAAUAUUGGUCAAUGGGCGCUAGCCUGAACCAGCCAAGUAGCGUGAAGGAUGAAGGCUCUAUGGGUCGUAAACUUCUUUUAUAUAAGAAUAAAGUGCAGUAUGUAUACUGUUUUGUAUGUAUUAUAUGAAUAAGGAUCGGCUAACUCCGUGCCAGCAGCCGCGGUAAUACGGAGGAUCCGAGCGUUAUCCGGAUUUAUUGGGUUUAAAGGGAGCGUAGGUGGACUGGUAAGUCAGUUGUGAAAGUUUGCGGCUCAACCGUAAAAUUGCAGUUGAUACUGUCAGUCUUGAGUACAGUAGAGGUGGGCGGAAUUCGUGGUGUAGCGGUGAAAUGCUUAGAUAUCACGAAGAACUCCGAUUGCGAAGGCAGCUCACUGGACUGCAACUGACACUGAUGCUCGAAAGUGUGGGUAUCAAACAGGAUUAGAUACCCUGGUAGUCCACACAGUAAACGAUGAAUACUCGCUGUUUGCGAUAUACAGUAAGCGGCCAAGCGAAAGCAUUAAGUAUUCCACCUGGGGAGUACGCCGGCAACGGUGAAACUCAAAGGAAUUGACGGGGGCCCGCACAAGCGGAGGAACAUGUGGUUUAAUUCGAUGAUACGCGAGGAACCUUACCCGGGCUUAAAUUGCAGUGGAAUGAUGUGGAAACAUGUCAGUGAGCAAUCACCGCUGUGAAGGUGCUGCAUGGUUGUCGUCAGCUCGUGCCGUGAGGUGUCGGCUUAAGUGCCAUAACGAGCGCAACCCUUAUCUUUAGUUACUAACAGGUUAUGCUGAGGACUCUAGAGAGACUGCCGUCGUAAGAUGUGAGGAAGGUGGGGAUGACGUCAAAUCAGCACGGCCCUUACGUCCGGGGCUACACACGUGUUACAAUGGGGGGUACAGAAGGCAGCUAGCGGGUGACCGUAUGCUAAUCCCAAAAUCCUCUCUCAGUUCGGAUCGAAGUCUGCAACCCGACUUCGUGAAGCUGGAUUCGCUAGUAAUCGCGCAUCAGCCACGGCGCGGUGAAUACGUUCCCGGGCCUUGUACACACCGCCCGUCAAGCCAUGGGAGCCGGGGGUACCUGAAGUACGUAACCGCAAGGAUCGUCCUAGGGUAAAACUGGUGACUGGGGCUAAG
rnacentral:rRNA from 1 species